UACGGGGGGGGCAAGCGUUGUUCGGAAUUACGGGGCGUAAAGGGCCAGUAGGCGGCCAACUAAGUCGGAUGUGAAAUCCCCAGGCUCAACUUGGGAACUGCAUCCGAUACUGGAUGGCUUGAAUUCGGGAGAGGGAUGCAGAAUUCCAGGUGUAGCGGUGAAAUGCGUAGAUAUCAUCAGGAAUACCGGAGGCGAAGGCAGCCCCCUGGGCCAAUACUGACGCUCAGGCACGAAAGCGUGGGGAGCAAACAGG
rnacentral:rRNA from 1 species